AGGAAGGCGGGCAUGACGUCUAGCCGGCGUGGUCCUUACGAGCUGGGCCACACACGUGCUACAAUGGCCGAUACAACGCGCCGCCAACUCGCGAGGGUGAGCCAAUCGCUGAAAGUCGGCCCCAGUUCAGAUCGGAGUCUGCAACCCGACUCCGUGAAGUUGGAAUCGCUAGUAAUCGUGAAUCAGCAUGUCGCGGUGAAUACGUUCCCGGGCCUUGUACACACCGCCCGU
rnacentral:rRNA from 1 species